UGUGGGAGCGGGCUUGCUCGCGAAGGCGGUGGUUCAGUCAAUGAUUUUUCGACUGACCGUCCGCCUUCGCGAGCAAGCCCGCUCCCACA
rnacentral:misc_RNA from 1 species